rnacentral:tRNA from 1 species
UUUUUUAUAGCUAAUUUAAUGCAUUAAAUUUUUAAUUUAAAGAUGGAAAGUUAAUUUCCUAUUGCGC